GGCUCUUCUUAUGAUCUUAAGCUAAACAGUUGGAGACACUUUUGAAAGGCCUAUUGUGUGAAUAGAGCAGCUGCUGUAUGCUUUCAAAUCCUUACAAUCUACUGCACAUCAAAAUGAAGAAGAGAGCCACGACUCUUGCUUCUGAAUAUGGAAAGUGGCACAGAGUCUUGCUGCGCAUUGAUAAUGAAGGAAUCUCAUGCAAACUGGCAGGAUCGAUGUGUAGUGCAUGCAGAAGAGAACACAAGGUGUGCCCUUCUUCCUUUGGUGGUCAUGGUUCCCCUCUGUUGUUUUCAUCCUGAGGGACAGAUUAGGCUGAGAGGUGGCGUGAGAUUUUAUCUGACAAAGUAAUAAUUAAUAAAGCAAACCAGCAUGCCUUGGAGGUGACAGCAGGGCUUCCAUUAAUUGCCCAGGAAGUCUCAUACUUGAAACAAGGAGGUCUUGAGCAGAUGGAAGGAACAAAAGGAAGAGUAAAAUUGACACACACAUCUUUAUUGAUUAUAUGGCUGUGAAUAAUUAGCACAGUGUCACACAAUGAUGACACCAUAACAGCAUCUUAUGGACUUUACUUUGUUGCCAUGUAUAUUGUGAAAGGCAUAUGGAACCUGAUGGUGAAUGUUUCAGUAUUGACACUGAUUAAAUAAUUUUAAAUAUGUAUCUAUCACAAAUGGCUGAGGAAGAGAAGAAAGCAGGGGUAGACUUGCAAGUCUGGAUUACGUUGAAGUUGAUUACGUCUGGUAGGGCUACUUCCAUUCAUUUCUGGAGAACCAAGAUGUCAAAAGCCAAAUUCCAGCCUGGAUGUUUUCAAGCUUCUGAAAACAAUUUAGCAUUUUCAUCACUCAUGUUCAGCCCAGUAAUUGUAUAACUAGUUAUUUUCAUAGUGGAAAGCACAGGCUUUGCCUUUUGCUACUCCUGCCUUUAUGAGAUUACAGGCCUGCAAGUAAUGGUUUCCAACUGUUUUUUUUAUUCUCAGCUUAAAGAUCAGUAUACCUCAUCAAUAUUAGAAGUCCCUAUAAUAUUGAUUGGAUAUGUUGAUCGAUAUGCUAAUAGUAAAUUCUAAAGAAGCUUCAGUCAUAAGAUGUCAUAGCAAAGCUGUCUUGACAUAGCAUAUAAAUGUUGCAUACAACAGUAUAUUGUGGCAUUCCUUGGUUCCUUCCCAAUUUUACUCUGUAUAAGUGAACUAUUUCAUUUCCAUAUUUUGCUUUGUAUUGUUUCUUGUUGUUGUUCAUAAUCAUUAUCUGGUGUCUUUGUUUUGGGAGCAACUUGAGGAUGAAAAUGUUGCCCUGAAGGGGAUACAACUGUUUGGCAUGCACAGAUAUAUCUUCAAGGAUGGUCAGAUGAUAUUUAUUUCCUAA